AGGGGGAGGAGCUAGCGCGGCCGGCGCGAAAACGGCCGAAAUAUGCCGAAAUGCUAGGGGCAGGGAGCCCCUAAACAGAGAGGAUGUCUUCCCUGGAUUCAGCACCAACAGGUACCCUGACAGUACCCCCCCUUCUAGAAACGCCCACCGGGCGGAUGGGACCGGGCUUAGAAGGAAAACGAACGUGGAAGGCCCGAAGAAG